CUUGCGGGCACACCCCAGCCCCUAGGAAGACAUGUAGGGCGGGGAGCUCAGUACCAUAUAUCAGCACGGGGGAGGAGGCUAAACUGGACUCGUGGGUCCGGAGCAUCUGACGUGGAACUGAAAAAUAAAGAAUGGGAUGCCAGGGCGGGAAGGUGAAGGGCAUAUAAUCCCAGCCUUGUUUUAAGCAGGAGUUCUCUGCCACUCAGGGCAUCUACGGUUACCCAGCGACCUACCCCAGCUGGGACCCAGGCUUGCUCACCUCCUCAGCCCAGCUCACUCUCGGUUUGGGGGGUCGUUUGGUCCUUCGGGACUCAAAGGGGGCUCUGUUCUUAGUGAUGCCUUUCCGUGACUUUGACGGAUGCCAUCAGCUGAAAGAGGGCUCGGGGGGGGCAAAAGCCACACAAGAAUGAUGCCACAGGCAGCCCCUGGGGACCCAGACCAGCCUUGGUGCCUGGCCAAGGGACCGCCGGCAGCAUCUUUCCGGGGGCUCCCCCUCUCUCCCUCAUCAGCUGGCCCAUCCCUCAGUUUCCUCAUCCAGAGAAGGGAUGCGUGAUCCCAGGAGGAGGCCUCCGAUGAUGUCAAGUGGGUGGAGGAAAUUACGAAACAAGGUACUUUGAGCCUCCCAGCGGGAAAUUGGGGUAAAUUCCUGAUAUCCGGUACUGCGUGCUUUUCUUGGUAGAGGCAUAAUUGAGGCAAGGUGGCAAAUGGUGCAAAACAGGCCCUCCUGGGGGACCUAGCAGGCUGCUAGUGACUGGAUGAUGGGGGGUGGUCUCCAGCCAGCCCCCACUUCCUGGGCCCCCUCUGAGCCUCAGUUUCUCCUUCUAGGAGGAGCAGGCUGGAUGUGACGGCUGCAGACACCUGCUGGCUUUCAGGAGAUUCCUCUCUGCUCCACCACAGACAGCAGGCAGCCCAGCUCCGUGGCAGGGCAGCAAGCCUCACUGUGGGAAGGGGACCGCCUCGGGUCUCCCCAGUGUCUGGGGGGUCUGCUGCUAAUUGGAUUGUAAAAGAUGAUCCCUCUGCACAGCUGUCUGCAAGCCAGGCCCCAGUGACACAGGAGAUCUUCUUUCCUGCUGACUGGGAUGGAGAUGUAAGGGCCGGUGCUGAAGUGGCCACCGUGAGCAAGGUGGCUCUGGACAAAGAGGACCUAUGUGGACACUCAGAUAGAACAGAAGCUAGCCUCCAUUUCAAGCCUCGCUGUUUCCCCAUCACACGUUCUGGUUAUCGCCGGACAAGUUCCUCACUUGUAAGACCAGCAAAGACAGUUACUCAACCCAAGAUGCUUAAGGAAGCCCCCCAGGAUCAACGUGGUCACCCCAUCCUGCUGCCCUGAGGGUCGUCCAGUUCGGCAGACACUGGCCCAGUGCCUCCUGCUCCUGGCACUGGGAAUGCCAAGAGGCUUCAAGGUGACCACUGCCCUCGCAGCCAUCCUUGGUCAGAGGGUGUCCAGCCACGUCCGACAGCAGGCUCAGCCCGACGAUGGGCGUGGUGUGCAGGACGGUCCACGGGCCUCCACCCGGGAACUCCGUGGUAAAGAUGUGACUCAGGAAACAGGAGUGAGCGGCCACGCUCAGGCCACCUCCGAUGCCUUCUUCUCCGUGGAUCAUUGAAUUACAUGCAUAUUUCAGUGAAGAUGAUUAUCUCCUUGCUGGUUUCGGAAGAUGUAUUUAGGGGAGGUAUUUCAAUUCUGUUGUCAUUUAAAACUAAAAAUCAAAACAUCAUUUUUGAUGUCCAGGGUUCUUUCUUCCGCCGAAAUACACACUGUGGUGUGUUACAAUCAUGUCUCCACCAUUUGCGCCUUAGAUGUACUUGUAG
ensembl:lncRNA